CCUACGGGAGGCUGCAGUGGGGAAUAUUGCACAAUGGGGGAAACCCUGAUGCAGCGACGCCGCGUGAGUGAAGAAGUUAUUCGUUAUGUAAAGCUCUAUCAGCAGGGAAGAAAAUGACGGUACCUGAGUAAGAAGCCCCGGCUAACUACGUGACAGCAGCCGCGGUAAUACGUAGGGGGCAGGCGUUAUCCGGAUUUACUGGGGGUAAAGGGAGCGUAGACGGCUGUGCAAGUCUGGAGUGAAAGGCUGGGGCUCAACCCCCGGACUGCUCUGGAAACUGGACGGCUGGAGUGCAGGAGAGGUAAGUGGAAUUCCUAGUGUAGCGGUGAAAUGCGUAGAUAUUAGGAGGAACUCCAGUGGCGAAGGCGGCUUACUGGACUGUAACUGACGUUGAGGCUCGAAAGCGUGGGGAGCGAACAGGAUUAGAUACCCGUGUAGUC
rnacentral:rRNA from 1 species